rnacentral:rRNA from 1 species
CAAGUCGAACGAUGAUUUCUAGCUUGCUAGAAUGAUUUAGUGGCGAACGGGUGAGUAAUGUAUCGGAACGUAUCCAAUAAUGGGGGAUAACUAAUCGAAAGGUUGGCUAAUACCGCAUACGCCCUACGGGGGAAAGCAGGGGAUCUUCGGACCUUGCGUUAAUGGAGCGGCCGAUAUCUGAUUAGCUAGUUGGUGAGGUAAAAGCUCACCAAGGCGACGAUCAGUAGCUGGUCUGAGAGGACGACCAGCCACACUGGAACUGAGACACGGUCCAGACUCCUACGGGAGGCAGCAGUGGGGAAUUUUGGACAAUGGGCGAAAGCCUGAUCCAGCCAUUCCGCGUGAGUGAAGAAGGCCUUCGGGUUGUAAAGCUCUUUCGCAAGGGAAGAAACGAUGCAGUCGAAUAAACUGUGUUAAUGACGGUACCUUGAUAAGAAGCACCGGCUAACUACGUGCCAGCAGCCGCGGUAAUACGUAGGGGGCGAGCGUUGUCCGGAAUCAUUAGGCGUAAAGAGCUCGUAGGCGGCUUGGUAAGUCGGGUGUGAAACCUCCAGGCUCAACCUGGAGUCGCCACUCGAUACUGCCAUGGCUAGAGUCCGGUAGGGGCCCACGGAAUUCCUGGUGUAGCGGUGAAAUGCGCAGAUAUCAGGAGGAACACCGGUGGCGAAGGCGGUGGUCUGGGCCGGCACUGACGCUGAGGAGCGAAAGCGUGGGGAGCAAACAGGAUUAGAUACCCUGGUAGUCCACGCCGUAAACG